GUCUUAUAAUUGCUAAGCACUUACAACUGUUUGCAGAGGAAACUGAGACUUUGUAACUAUGUCUCAGUCUCAUCUGCAAAGAAGUAAGUGCUUUGCCAAGCUCCUUGAGAGGUUAGGUAAGUAGAUAAAGUUCUGCUGCUGUCGGAAUGUGCAGCUGGCUUUUUCAUGCAGACCCUUCAGUUUCGAGGUUACAACUCUGACCUCUUUGGAUGACUUUGGGGAAUGGAGCUCGUGUGAGUUCUCCAUACCCAGAACCAAUCCAGUCUGGUUGAAUGGGAAGCAAAGUCCAUUGUAGUGGGAGGUGGAGGCUAGAGUUCUAAUGUCAGCUAGUUUAAGGCUGGGAAAGUCUGGAGGAAGUUACAGCAGCUACACUGGCUGCUGCAUUGACAUUUAUCUUAAAGGAACAAGUCUGAAAAGCACAGAUUCUUAUCAAAGGCUUCAUGGUGGAUUCCACAUAGACAUAGUGGCCACUGGUUUUCUGACCUUUUCUCUGACAAAGACUAAAGGGGAAGGUCCUGGGUAUCUUACACUUCAGCUCCCAAUUAGAUGUGAGCACCUUCACUUAUGUUCCUAGGUGACCUGAAUGAGGAGCCAAGGGACCUCCCCAGGGUAGCUCCCAGAGCAACCCUGGAAACACUCUUCACACAUCCUGACCAAGUUCAGGGCAGUGAAGGCACUGCCCUCAUCGUUUCCAGAAUGUGGAUGGAGCCAGUCACCCAACCAGCCAUUUGUCGUGAGAGGCAUCUUGUUCUGCUACCAUGUGACUAGGCAGAAAAUCUGCUUUUGUUUCAUUUAUUGAGUCAGUCUCUGGAUGAGGGAAAGCUCAUGCUCAUGUGGCUAGAGCUUUGCUUGCACAGUAUUAGGCAGGGGCAGAGGGCUGGGCUACCUUAAAAAUACUUGCCCUUUUUCUUGGGGACUCUGGGGAAGCGGUUUUACUACCUUUGACUUGGGAGCCUUGCUCUUCUGCCAGCUAACCAUGGGCCUGCCUCUUGGUUUUCUGCACCUCAGCUUUUCCCGGAUAGGUGGGGACCCAUCAUCAAAAGUGACAGAGAAGAUAAGGCCCAGGGGCUUUCAAGUCACUAGUGGUUCCGUUUAGUAGAUGAUUGUGCAUUGUUUCAAAAUGGUGCCCUAGUGACUACAAAGCCCCAGAGCCAGCAUCAUCAUCAAAGCAAUGACAGUAGGUAAGCACCAGACCUCCUUGGGAGUGAGGAGGAUUCUUGAGGAGAAAAGAGGUCUUCUUUCUCCUCUGCUGGAGACUAGUUGAUCUGGAGACGUGGUUCCUUCAAUGUCAGAGUUAUCUUUGGGACUGGUCUCAAACUCUUCCAGUUGGGCCCUGGGGCAGGUCUCUCCAUCUGGAGCAUACUUACGUGCUCGGCGAUUAAGGGUUCAGAAUGCAGUGGUAGCCUGCUACUCUGGCCAUCUUGGACCUUGAUCCAGAGAAUCUCUGCUUCAGGAGCUUCUAAGAGAGUCCAGCCCUGCCUCCAGAGAGAGGCUUGCCCUUCACUGAUGGCUGUGGAGCCUCUGAUGGAAUAUUAUUGCUGGUCAGGAAUUCACUGUCUUACAAGGAGGUUUCCUUCUUCUCUAGACAGUUCUGUUCAUCAAAAAACUCUCCCUGUUCUUCUGAAAUUGGAGUCUCUGGAAGUUCCACACAUUAAGCUUAGUUCUUUUUCCUUGGAACUGUCCAGGUUACAUUAGUCCAGCCACUGUUUCACAGGACCGAGAUUAAACGAUCAACAUCAUCAUUCCCGGCAUGGAUCAUAGUCUGUUGUAGUCUACAUAGCCCUAGUUUAUUUUUCUUCCCUUAUUCUUCAAAGCUUUGGGUCCAUUCAUUCUUCUAGUCCCAGUCCUCUGGACAUGGUCUAUUUAAUUGUGUCCCUCUGACACUGCAGUGACCAACCAUGAUCUGGUCAAAGAGGAUAAGAGUUUGAGCAGAAAACCAUCUUUAGCAUAUAUUUUUUUGCUUUGGUUCAUCAGCCCCAGAUAUAUUGUUUUCCUUACCCGUGCUUCUCUCACUCCUCAAGAAGAAGAAAGUGUGUGUUAGCAUCUUUCUCUUGUCCUUCAAGACAAAUUGGCAUCUCUUGACGAGCGGAGAAGGUUCUUUUUUGGCCAGAAUAAAUAAAAUUAAAAUAGAAUCAUCCAACAGAAUAAUAAAUCUUCGUGCAACAAGAAUAUAUUAUAUAAACCCAGCAAUUUUGCAGGGCCUGGGUAUAACUAAUUAGAAGUGUCUUAAAUUGCAGUCAAGAUCCCACGGCAAGAGGACUUUUGAUAAAUACAUUCUGGCCAGUAGGCAAGUGCGAGGGUGGUCCGUGCAGCAGCUCUGGAGGAGUUCUAUCCCAAAGCUAUACUCAACACACAGGUUUCCCACUGACAACAGGUCGCUCCCUUGCCUUCUUCCAGAAGAAUCUGAGAAGCUUUGCUCCUUGAGUUUCAGUGCUGCCAAGGUGAGUACGAAAGGCUGCUCUUCUCAUUCAGCUCCAGCCCACCCAGACCUGCUGGGCAGUUGAUCCACUUUCCAAAAUAGGAGGACACACGGACAGGUUAGUGUUCUGGUCUGCUUUACAAAGCUGUUGCCUGACAGGAGCAAGAGUUGCUGAGUGUCUGCUGGGUUCCAGGCUGUUCUGAGCUUGGAUGGGCAGGGGCUAAGCCACAGGGCCUGCAUGAGCCCUGCCUUGAAGGGACUUAAAAGACGACCUAAUUAUAGGCCUAGGAAUUUUACAGUAUUGCAACUGCAAUGUGAUGCUGAAAGUGGAAAAUGAUGUCCUGGGCUCAGAGAAAAGCCCACACCAGCCUGGGAGUCAUGAUAGCAGCAGAGUGCUUGGGGAGGGUGUGUCAGAGCAUAAAGCAGCAUGAAUGCUACAAAAGAAGAUGCCAACUAGAGAUAUAGGUUGUCAUCAGGUCCCGGAGGAGCCAUGACCGUCUAGCUGAGAGCCAUGACCAAGGACACAAUGUCCAAGUGACUGUGAGGACCUCAGUCUGCCCUGUGGAUGUGUAUGCCACAGACCUGACUUCUGGAGGGCUGACUGAAAUGUUCAUUUUAAGCUUUUUCUUCUCUUUCCCUGAAACACUCAGUUUGGGUUAGGGGUCAUAGACUAAGACCAAAGAGUCCAGGGUUAGAAUCUUGGUGUAAAAUUGCAGGCCAUCUCAGGAAAUCUGUGAGCAGAUGGGAUUGGCUUUGGGUAAGGUGCGUGUGGAAAAUGUCAGUGGGAGCCGGGUCAUGGUGGGCCUUUAGCAUCAGAUUCCAGAGUGCAGAUAGUCUGUAUAGCUCAUGUGAAACAGGGAGCCACCAAAACUUUGGGGAGCAGGCUAGUGCCGGUUUUGACCACCUGUGGAGCAGUGCUCACUCACGAAGGCAUUUUGCCAUCACAUGAAUGUGCAGAAAGGAGGCCAAAAGCAUUCUGUGCUUCUCCACCACAGCACAGACUUCCCUAGUCUCAUUUGCUGAGAGUAGACAUUCUGAGGGCCAGCAGUGCAGGUGUGAUGUGCCUCAGAGGGUAUGAAGCCCUUAGUCAGCCAUCUGGAUAUCAGCUGCGUGGGCAUGAUAUCUAGAAGGCUAAUUGAUUUUUUCACUUUCACCUGACUCUCUUGCCAACCUGCAGAGACAGACAUUGGGUGUAGGACAGUGAACUGAGAAGGAAGCUAUUAAGAUUCUGGCCUUGGCUUAGCUCUCAACUGGCCAUUGGUCUUGCAGUAAGUCUUUUUUCUGGGCUUCUUCUGGUCCUAUUUGUAUGUAUUGCAUUGUCACAUCAUGCCUCUAUCCUAGGGAAUACUGUGAGCUGAAAAAUGAGACCCUUACUGUUCACGUCCUGCUAAGGGGGACCGUCGUGUCAGCACUGUAAUGCAGUGAUGUUUUUUGUGUCUUUCAGGUGACUUCAUGGUCAUGACGAUUUUCUUCAAUGUGAGCAGGCGGUUUGGCUAUGUUGCCUUUCAAAACUAUGUCCCUUCUUCCGUGACCACGAUGCUCUCCUGGGUUUCCUUUUGGAUCAAGACAGAGUCUGCUCCAGCCCGGACCUCUCUAGGGAUCACCUCUGUUCUGACCAUGACCACGUUGGGCACCUUUUCUCGUAAGAAUUUCCCGCGUGUCUCCUAUAUCACAGCCUUGGAUUUCUAUAUCGCCAUCUGCUUCGUCUUCUGCUUCUGCGCUCUGUUGGAGUUUGCUGUGCUCAACUUCCUGAUCUACAACCAGACAAAAGCCCAUGCUUCUCCUAAACUCCGCCAUCCUCGUAUCAAUAGCCGUGCCCAUGCCCGUACCCGUGCACGUUCCCGAGCCUGUGCCCGCCAACAUCAGGAAGCUUUUGUGUGCCAGAUUGUCACCACUGAGGGAAGUGAUGGAGAGGAGCGCCCGUCUUGCUCAGCCCAGCAGCCCCCUAGCCCAGGUAGCCCUGAGGGUCCCCGCAGCCUCUGCUCCAAGCUGGCCUGCUGUGAGUGGUGCAAGCGUUUUAAGAAGUACUUCUGCAUGGUCCCCGAUUGUGAGGGCAGUACCUGGCAGCAGGGCCGCCUCUGCAUCCAUGUCUACCGCCUGGAUAACUACUCGAGAGUUGUUUUCCCAGUGACUUUCUUCUUCUUCAAUGUGCUCUACUGGCUUGUUUGCCUUAACUUGUAGGUACCAGCUGGUACCCUGUGGGGCAACCUCUCCAGUUCCCCAGGAGGUCCAAGCCCCUUGCCAAGGGAGUUGGGGGAAAGCAGCAGCAGCAGCAGGAGCGACUAGAGUUUUUCCUGCCCCAUUCCCCAAACAGAAGCUUGCAGAGGGUUUGUCUUUGCUGCCCCUCUCCCCUACCUGGCCCAUUCACUGAGUCUUCUCAGCAGACCAUUUCAAAUUAUUAAUAAAUGGGCCACCUCCCUCUUCUUCAAGGAGCAUCCGUGAUGCUCAGUGUUCAAAACCACAGCCACUUAGUGAUCAGCUCCCUAAAACCAUGCCUAAGUACAGGCGGAUUAGCUAUCUUCCAACAAUGCUGACCACCAGACAAUUACUGCAUUUUUCCAGAAGCCCACUAUUGCCUUUGUAGUGCUUUCGGCCCAGUUCUGGCCUCAGCCUCAAAGUGCACCGACUAGUUGCUUGCCUAUACCUGGCACCUCAUUAAGAUGCUGGGCAGCAGUAUAACAGGAGGAAGAGAUCCCUCUCCUUUGGUCAGAUUAUUAUGUUCUCAGUUCUCUCUCCCUGCUACCCCUUUCUCUGCAGAUAGAUAGACACUGGCAUUAUCCCUUUAGGAAGAGGGGGGGGCAGCAAGAGAGCCUAUUUGGGACAGCAUUCCUCUCUCUCUGCUGCUGUGACAUCUCCCUCUCCUUGCUGGCUCCAUCUUUCGUCUGCACUACCAAUUCAAUGCCCUUCAUCCAAUGGGUAUCUAUUUUUGUGUGUGAUUAUAGUAACUACUCCCUGCUUUAUAUGCCACCCUCUUCCUUCUCUUUGACCCCUGUGACUCUUUCUGUAACUUUCCCAGUGACUUCCCCUAGCCCUGACCCAGGCACUAGGCCUUGGUGACUUCCUGGGGCCAAGAAACUAAGGAAACUCGGCUUUGCAACAGGCAUUACUCGCCAUUGAUUGGUGCCCACCCAGGGCACACUGUCGGAGUUCUAUCACUUGCUUGACCCCUGGACCCAUAAACCAGUCCACUGUUAUACCCGGGGCACUCUAACCAUCACAAUCAAUCAAUCAAAUUCCCUUAAAUUUGUAUGGCACUGGAACUUUGGCAAAGCACUUUUGACAAGUUGUGUCUGAUUGGAGCUUCAUGAUAGCCUUGUGACAUCUUUAGGGCAGGAUUCUUAUCCCCAUUUUGCAGAUGAAAACCCUGAGUCACAGAUUUCUGUGGGACUGUGGAUCUCACUGGAAGCUAUCCAAGAGCCCACUGUCACCUUCUAGACCACAUGAUAGGGCUAGACAGCUCAGUUCACCAUGAUUCUCUUCUGUCACCUCUGCUGGCACACCAGUGGCAAGGCCCAGAAUGGCGACCUCUCUUUAGCUCAAUUUCUGGGCCUGAGGUGCUCAGACUGCCCCCAAGAUCAAAUCUCUCCUGGCUGUAGUAACCCAGUGGAAUGAAUUUGGACAUGCCCCAAUGCUUCUAUAUGCUAAGUGAAAUCUGUGUCUGUAAUUUGUUGGGGGGUGGAUAGGGUGGGGUCUCCAUCUACUUUUUGUCACCAUCAUCUGAAAUGGG
rnacentral:misc_RNA from 1 species